UACGGAGGUGGCAAGCGUUGCUCGGAAUCACUGGGCGUAAAGGGCGCGUAGGCGGGGAGGUAAGUCGGGUGUGAAAUCCCUCGGCCCAACCGAGGAACUGCGCCCGAGACUGCUUCUCUUGAGUCCCGGAGAGGAAGAUGGAAUUCCCGGUGUAGAGGUGAAAUGUGUAGAGAUCGGGAGGAACACCGGUGGCGAAGGCGGUCUUCUGGACGGUGACUGACGCUGAGGCGCGAAAGCGUGGGGAGCAAACGGG
rnacentral:rRNA from 1 species